CCAAAGAUUGGCCAUGCUGAAUUGCCCAUAGUGUCCAGGGAUGAGCAGGCUAGACGGAUUAGCCAUGAGAAAUAUAAGGUUACAGGUUUUGGAUAGAAGGAGUGGAAUGCUCUUUGGAGGGUCGAUGUAGACUCAAGGGGCUGAAUGGCCUGCUUCCACGCUGUGAGGACUCUAGGAUUUCCAUCAGCAGUUAAAAUCGACUCUAAAACAUUUGUUGCAGAAUGUCAUCAGAUCCCUUCAACAAAAUUCUGGGACCCAGCACUAAAAUAUUAAUUGAUUAAGUUUCAUGGCCAGUAAGUAAUUGCUCCAGCCCUCACACCCUGCAACAUGUGCCAGAAUACAUUUCUAACAGCAUAUUGAUUGCUUUUUCUUUUUAUGAACACACCCACUACCGAGAGCAAAAGGGCCAUAUGAUUUCUAUGUAAUUGUGACAAUUUAGGCUGCAGCAUCUUGAAUAGGCCAUUAGCUGGGCUGUGUAGGUAGUCUGUGGUGCUUCCAAUAAAACAUAACAUUUCUACCUCUGAUGUGAAUCAUCCAAUGCCUCGGAGUUGAAAUCCUUACGUUCUUUUGACAGCACUGUUAAAAUCCUGAUAUUUCAUUUUCAUCUUCAUAGCAGCAAUUUGGGCUGGGGAGGUUGGGGAACACAUCUUGGUUUGGAAAAUAAAGAAAUAGAGCAUGUUCAUAAGGAUUAAAAGAGUCAGUAUAUUGAGCAAUGUUUAAGCUUACCCAGUGUCUGUUCACUUAUGGAUUGAUGUUUAAUGGUGCAUGACGUAUCAAGGUGACCAUUUUUGUACAGCCAUGGUGUCAUUGGUAUGUAAACAGAAGUGAAUUUAUAUUUCUAUUGGCAUGAAUUGGAUAUGCAAUACAAUAUUACCUUGGUGAAGCAACAUUAGAAGCUAGUAAGAAUUAAUACUGCUGUAUUAUUGUGACAGUAAGUUGACAAACACUUUCAUUUGCUCCUAUAUCUGUGAGAAUUCCAUCAUACAACGUAACAAAUAUCAGCAAUGCCAAAACAAGGUUUAUGGCUCUUCAAUGAAUUGCAAGGUGUACAAAUGAACUCAGUGCAACUCUGCUGUCAAACUUUGCUACAGUAGCUUUUGAGUUUACUCUGUGUUGUGUAUGUCCAGAGGUUUUAGUUAAAAUAUUUUAAAAGAAGGCUUCUUAAUUUUGUACAUAGUGAAGAGGAAAGAAGUCAAAUAUGGCUAAAAUAUUUUUUAAUUUUACAACAUGUUGCAGAUUGGAGGUUUUUCUCCAGUAAAUUAGAGAUUUCACAGAAGAAACAGUUUGUGCAUGCUGCAUAUGUUGUGACUUGAGAAAAUUUAUCAAUGACUAAAUGCCUUAUACAAACAAAUCUAUAGUACAUAACCCAGAGAUAGUCUGAAAAUAGUUAAUCACAAAUAUGUGUGGACUUAAUGCUGUUUUAUGUCAUACUACUCCGCUUGAUUUGUCUGUCAUUUCUGUAUUUCUUAAAGAACCGUUAAUCUUGUAAAAUUGUGCUGUGUAACUCUCAUUGCUUGAAUUGAAUGGCUUUGUAUAAAUCAAUGUCAUAAGCUGUUUCCUCUCUUGCCAUAUUUCCUAACACAUUAAAUAUAGAUGUUUGUAAAUUCUCCAUAAUUGCUCGUUCAUUCUGCGUGUCUUGAUCUAAUCAAGUCCAACAGGCAUUUCAUUCAGUUUACUGUGUUUAAAAAGUUCACUUCAAGUUAUUGCAAGCUUCCUAACGAUAUCAUAGCUCUUUUAGAUAAAGUAAGUAAACUUUUUCAAUUUGUUUGCAGUCUUCAGUGCAACCAAAGCGCCAAAUAUUGAUCAUUUUAAACUUGAAUUUGCUACUGCAAUUCACACAUUUUUAAACUUUAAUCAAUCCUGAAGAAGCCGUGCAAAUAUCAUUCAUGAUAAAUGUUACAUUAUGUUUCAAUUUGUGAUCAAAAUUAUUAAGCACAUUAUGCUUACCAUAAUUUGAAAUGCAGACUAUAAAGUCUGAAUUCUAUUCAUGUAAAAUGUGACAUGUGACACCCAUCCUUGUGUGUUCUUGUUCAGUGCAUUCUGCUAAAUGUUGUCACUAAAGAACACUCUGAUUAUGCCAGGAAAGGAAUUUAUUAAAAAUGCCUAAAAUAAACUCAUUAUUGUUUCUCACUUUUAGAAAGAUUACAUCUUAUUUCACUGCUUUUCUUUACUGUUUUGACUUAUAAUUCCCUUCACUUCAUUGUUCUGAUUUGUAAGACUCUUCACCACACAUUUGUGCGUCAUCAGUAAUAUUCCUAGCUCAGUUUCUGUGUAUCUCUACUGUUCUGUCAAUUGAAAAUCCUCUUCUUGAUUAUUCUAUAAAUUAAUUAAUAUUUAAAUAUUUGUGUUUAUGUAUGGAAGACAAGAUUUGAGACUUUUUAAUUCAUUCAUGGGACAUAGGCAUUGCCAGUAUUUAUUUCCGGUCCCGAAUAUCUCAGUUCCACAUGCCCAGAACAUUAAUCGGGAGUACUAUCCCACUGACAUUACUUCACUGCUGUCCCAAAAGGUGAUGGAUAAACUUGAAAUCAUUUGCGAUUGUGCUUUAGACCUGGGGUUCCUUUCCUGAACGUCAGUAAAGCCGAGGGACCCCUUCUAAAAGCAAAGAACUGAGCUCUCAAAAAUUGUUUCUAUGAAAAUCAAUUUACAACACAUUGUCUUCUAAAGGUUGCAUGGCUGCUGUUUGUAAGUGUCUUACCACAGGUGCUGGGAGUGUCUGCUCACAGUAUACCUGGUGUAAUGUCAUUCGUGUGUAAAAUUUGAUUUAAUGUUUGUUCUGCCGUUUUGGAGUUCAAUGAUUCAGCAAAUGCCUUUUGUUAACCUCACAGCUGAGCACAAGUUAAACAGGAGAAUCAUGUUGCCCAUUCUGUCUCCCACCACUGGCACUUUCAGAAAAUCUGCUAAGGUGCCACACAAGAGCAUUACGAAGCAAAAUUUGAUACUGAAUUACUGAAUCAGAUAUUAAGUCAGAUAAACAAAAUCUUGGGUCAAACAGUUGCCUCAAAAGAGAAAAGACAGUAUGUGACCUGAACCUGAUAUGAUGUGUGUAUGCCUUCAAGGAAGUGUAUCUGAAAUUGGUGCCAAUCAUGACACAUCUCAUCAGGAUAUAAUGUAUUACUCCCAUGGCUCAUCAUCAAUCUAUAAGCAGCAGCGGUCAGAGACAGAUGGACAAUACUUAGGUCCCAAUGAAUGUUAUUUGUAUAUUGUCUCAUUCAAAUAAAGAACUGGCAGUGUAGUUUCACCAU